rnacentral:sRNA from 1 species
GCUGCCAACCUAUCUACCGCUGCCAACCUACCUAUCGCUGCCAAUCUAUCUACCACUGCUAAUCUAUCGCUGCUAAUCUAUCGCUGCUAAUCUAUUGCUGCUAAUCUAUCUAUCACUGCUAAUCUAUUGCUGCCAACCUACCUACCGCUGCCAACCUAUCUACCACUGCCAAUCUACCUACCGCUGCCAACCUACCUACCACUGCUAAUCUAUCACUGCUAAUCUAUCGCUGCCAACCUACCUACCGCUGCCAACCUACCUACCGCUGCCAACCUACCUACCACUGCUAAUCUAUCACUGCUAAUCUAUCACUGCCAACCUAUAUAGGGUAAAUCAUGGUCCCAUUUGGUCCCAUUUUGUAAAAUGGGACCAAAUGGGACUGGGACCACUAAUUUAUUAGUAAAACAUGAUCUGGGACUAGAUUUAUAAUAUAAACAGUGUAAAGUGACUAAUUUACUAAACACUAUAUGGGACCAGAACUAAGAUAUCUAAUAAUGGGACUGAGGAAAAAUUUGGUCCCAGUCCCAUGCAUGGUCACACGGCCAGUCUAAUCUCCAUUUCUCCAUUAUUAUUAUAGAUGUAUAUAUAUUAUUAUUAUAGAGUUAGGUCU